GACGAACGCUGGCGGCGUGCUUAACACAUGCAAGUCGAGCGGACAGGCCCUGCUUUUGUGGGGUGCUCGAGUGGCGAACGGGUGAGUAACACGUGAGUAACCUGCCCUUGACUUUGGGAUAACUUCAGGAAAAUGGGGCUCAUACCGGAUAGGAGAUCCUGCUGCAUGGGGGUGGUUGGAAAGUGUCGGCGGUUGUGGAUGGACUCGAGGGUUAUCAGCUUGUUGGGGGGGUUGUGGCUUACCAAGGCUUUGACGGAUAGCCCGCCUGGGAGGGUGACCGGCCACAUUGGGACUGAGGUACGGCCCAGACUGCUACGGGACGCAGCAGUGGGGAGUAUGGCGGAAUGGGCGGAAGCCUGAUGCAGAGACGCCGCGUGCGGAAUGACGGCCUUCGGGUGGUAAACCGCUGUCGCCUGUGACGAAGCGUGAGUGACGGUAAUGGGUAAGGAAGCACCGGCUAACUACGUG
rnacentral:rRNA from 1 species